CUACCUAUACUAGUCCUCAUAAAUAUAUUAACUACCCAAUUAUACAUGCCAGCUUUCAAAAAAUAUUAACUAUCCAACUACUAUGUCUCUGGUGUAGGUGCACCUUUACCCUUUAUCCCGAUCUUCUUCACUUUUUUUUUUUUUUUUUUUUUUUUUUUUUCUUCUGACUUCUUCUUGCAAUUGAUUGGAUGUCAUGGCUGUCUUCCCCAUUCAAGUUGCCUUGUUUGGUGAGAAAGGCAAUUUAGCGUUGAGCUUCGUGUGUGAUUUCCCCUGAACUGAAUCCUUCUUUUCUCAAUUGGAUUUUGCUAUUUUUGCUUGCUUUCCAGUCUUAUUUUUGUCUCAAAAAUAAAAUGUGACCUUAAUGGCUUCCUAUUUGAGGACCAUAACCAAUAGACUAAAGUGUUGCAUGUGCUAGAGCUUGGAGAUCUUUGGUAAGAUCGAUCUGUCAGGGUCUCUUCUUCAGUCGUCUUUGCUUGGAAUUCAUCUUCAGUUUUACUGCAGGUUCGAGUGUGGCUAGUGGCUUAGUGGCAUAACAUCAUGGUUGAUAUGGAGACUUGGGUGAGCUGUAUUUAUCGAGACGACCUGCAGCCAAUAGAAUUCCCUUCAGAGUAUUUUACUGUAUUGUUCAUUUUUGUCCACUUGUAUUUCGGACAGUUACUGUAUUUUAUUGCAUUCUCUAGUAAACGCUCAUGCACUUGUUACA